rnacentral:lncRNA from 1 species
GAAUAUAUAUACAUAGAAGACGGCAGUUUUCUGGGAGGAAGGGAGGCUAAAAGAAAAAGAGUUGAGGGAGAUUAUACAUGUAGAGAGAGCCGGCUAAGGGAAAACAUUGGAUUACCAACACAAUUGGGCGGCUGAAUUUGAUAAAAAAAAGGGACUGGAAUUUGCACAAGCAUUAAAGUGGCUGUGAGGAUUAUAAAAUCAAGCAUUAGCAGCCACUUUGGGGACUGAUUAUUGUACACAUAUAUAGGCGGCUGGAAUUGAUUUUAUAUACAUAGAUAAUAGCCUCUUGGAGUUGAUAUAUAUACACAUACACGCAGAGAGGAGCAACCAAGAUUAUUAGACUACGCACAAAAAAAAAGCCAAG